UUAGUUUGUGCCAUGAGGAGUUGAUGCUAAAUUUUGGUCGCAUGCUAGCAGAGAUUUUGAGUUGAUGACAUGCUGGAAAGCAAUCUCUCUUUUGUGCCUGUUAUUAGGCCUGUCAAUCGGGCCUAAUGAACCGGGCUUUGAUGAGUUCAAACUCAGCUCAUUUAAUUUGAGACAUUUUCGGGCUUCGGGCUAUGAGUUUCGGGUUCGUAAAUGUGAAGCUCAUACUCAGCUCACAUAAUAUUCGGAUUGUGAGCCUUAAUCGGGCUUAGCCCAAGCUCACUUAUUACUCCUGAAUUUUCUUAAUAUAAUUGCUAUAACUAUUAAGUUGUAAAACUAAUUUAACAUUUACAAGACUAUAAUAUUAAAACUAAACAUGAACAAAUAAUAGUUCUUAAAAAGUAUAUAAACCAAAAUUUUUUCAACAAUAUUUAUAUGUAAUCCGUUUAAAAUGCAUGAAAAAUAGUAAUAAAACAUGCAAUCAUAAGCCAAUACAUCUUUAAAAGUUGAAACUUUUUUUUAUAAUCUUGUGAUUUAAAUCCAAAUAUGCUUGAUGAUUUUUGUGUUUGUAGACCAAAAAAAAAAAAUCAACCAAUAAUAUGCCAAUACAAAAAGUUACUCAACCAAUAAGAAAAAUUAGAGAUUUAGUUAUGCAUUACUAAUAUUGGCUCUCAAGAAAGUUCAUGAAAGAGUCUUUAGAUGUGUUUUUGUGUUUUGUAAUUUAUAUAUAUAUUUAGUAUUUAGCAAAAAUAUAUUUGGAUAUAUAAUUAUACAUAAUAUCAAAAUAUAAAUAUUAUAUAUAUAGGUAAUUAAAGGGCCGGGCCUAUAUCGGGUAUGAGCCUAAUAAGGCCCAAGCUCGGCUCACAUUUAAUUCGGAUCUAAUUUUUAGGCUCAAGUUCAGACCGGCUCACUAAAUGAUCGGGCUCAUCGGGCUUUCUGUCGGGCCGAACGAGCCGAGCUCGGGCUGGCCCAGCCCCAUUGACAGUCCUACCUGUUAUGACAGUUAAUUCAGAUGUCAAAAUUUGCAAGAUAAUAUCUACUUUAGGUCUAGGUAAACGACUUACAAUUACAUUAGCCCCUCCAUUCUUCGAUAGAGAUGUUAAAAUUUGCAGUUGGGGUUUAUAUACAGAGCUUUGUACAGGAAGAAGAAGAGAAUCCAAUGUACCGGUGUACCAUUUUUGGAUAAAACAUGGUGUCGUAUUUUUCAUAGGAACGUGUUCCUUCUUAGUUAAAACUUUGAAUGUCUUAAACAUGUAACUAACCAUCAAGAACCCAAAUUUGUACAGAUCGAUAUUUCUCAG
rnacentral:lncRNA from 1 species